rfam:Pseudoalteromonas lipolytica SCSIO 04301 genomic scaffold Scaffold1, whole genome shotgun sequence.
AACUCGCAUCAUGAGGUCGUUUAGGUAUAUCUAUAUGCUAUGGAAUGGGGUGAGAUUCUCCAGCUGUUCCCGCAACUGUAAUCCAUGAUGAACAUGGUCAGCCAGAUACUUAGCAACAACAAUUAGUCUUA